AAACAUUUGUAGAAUAAUAGUCCUAGUUUUACAGAUGAGGAAACAGGCAAUAAAGGGAAGUAACUACCCCAUGUCACACAGCCAGCAAGUGGCAGAGUUUGGGUUCAAACUCAGCCCAUCUGAUUUCUUUUUAGGACUGCAUUCUUUCUGUGAACUGGCUAUCCUCACACUUAGACCUGGCUGCCCAGGGCACAUCCUAUAGCCACUCCUCCCAGAGGCCCUGCCGUAUCCCUGGGGCACUGGGAGGACACAGAGCAUAGGUCCCAAUCCUCAGUGAACCCAUGAAUCUUCCCCCUCUUUCAGCUCAACCCCCAUUCUUUCCCCAAAUACUCCCCACUUCCAGAAUAUCUAAUAUUAUAUCCUCAAUUAGAUUAAACUCUUAUUUAUACCACGAAAAGAGUUUAUCUUUUAAGAAACCCCUCCUGAGACCAAGAAAUAGAAGGGCUACUUAGAAUGAGGAGGUGGGAUAUCUGGAAAACAAAGCAGAAGUAGCUCGGAGUGUCUCUCUGUGUGUGUGUGAGAGAGAGAGAGAGAGAGAGAGAGUGUGUGAGCAUGUGUGUGAGUAUGUGUGAGAGUGUGUGUGUCAGUGAGUGUGUGUGUGAGUGUGUGUGUGAGAGUGUGUGUGUGAUGAGCACUCCAGGCUCCCUUUCCCAAACCAGCUGAAAGAUCCCCUUUUUCUCUUCUUUAAAACAGUUCUGAAAUCUAGCCAUGCCACCAAUACCUGCAGAAACAUUCUGGAUGGAACAGGCUUGCCCAGACCCUCCUCUCCAGAAGGCAAGUAUGGAAAGGCCGUCCUCCUGUACGGACUGUUCCCUGCACUGCUUCCUCAAUACAUCCGGCAUAGCAUUUGAUUAAAGCCUCCUGGGAAAAUGACUCCUUCACAUUUGGUAAAUUUCUAACCAGACCUGCUGCCAGAUGAACAAGUCCCCUGGGAAGGAAUCCCUUCUUCAGUCUUCAAGUCAAACUGCUUCUGUGCUAACCAAAGGCUAAGCCUGCCAGGGAGGGGGCAGUGCCACCUGCUUCCAAAGGCGCUGUGACAGCUCUUGUUUAUUGAAGAGGGCUGCCCAUCCCAGUGAAGUAAGAUAACCAGGAAUUUUAUUUCUGAGAGAGAGUAUCCUGGGCCUCCACAUCAAGGAGCAGGAAAGCUCAGCCUUGGCUUCUUGAGCUAUAUCCCAGGGAGCUGUAUCAGCAAAUGGACAGGUGGAACUCUGAUGCCUUCACCAAGAUGGUUGAACAAGAGAACAAGAUAGAGUUCUCAUCAGCUGAACAAAAGAAAUCAUGACAGAGACUAGAAGAUGUAAAGGCCUAGUUUCGGAGACAGAGACAAGUAAUUUCCCUGAAAUGUUAUUUGUGCCAUGUGGGUCACAGCUGAACUGCUGAGGGAAGCAUUUUCAGAACAUCACAGAGGGAAGAGUCAUGGGUCUAAACCUUUUAAAGACUACAUUUUUUAAAGGUCAACUGCUUUUUCCCUGGAGGGGAUCCUUGUAAUAGGUACUAUAGAGAAGGAUAAUUAAUAAUCAUGAUGUUGAGAAAGUGGCCUGAAAAAGAAAAAAAAAAAACUUGGAACCAGCUUCUCAUCGAAGAUGUGCCUCUCUCCCUCCCUGCAUUGCUGUGAUCUAGGGUUGCAGUGAUGCCCAGUUUUCCAGACCCUAGCUCUCACAGUCCGGACCAACUUGCAGCUGCAUUUCAGUAUCAAUCCAAUUUACAGAGCUGGAAUUACGUUGUAGCGGGGCCCACUAACAUGAACAUACAUUGUAAAUUCUUUUUCCUCCUAUUUGUAUUUUCAAUAUUCUUUGUUAAUUGUGAUAAUCCCUUAUGACAAAUGUGUGAUGUAUUUGCGUACCUCAGAUUGAGCAUAUGUCUGGUAUGAAACAAGUUGCCCCACAAAAAAUUGGGGAGAGGCCGGGCAUGGUGGCUCAUGCUUGUAAUCCCAGCACUUUGGGAGGCUGAGGCAGGUGGAUCACUGAGUCCGGGAGACCAGCCUGGGCAACGUGGCAAGACCCCAUCUCUACAAAAAAAUGCAAUACUUAGCUGGGCAUGGUUAGGCACACCUGUGAUCCCAGAUACUCAGGAGGCUGAGGUGGGAGGAUCAUUUGAGCCCAGGAGGUCAAGUUUGCAGUGAGCUGUGAUUGUGCCACUGCAUUCCAGCCUGGCAACAGAAUGAAACCCUGUCUCAAAACAACACAACCACACACACACACACACACACACAAAAUUGGGGUAAGAACAAAAAAUUGGGGGAAGAAAUUGGACAUAUGAGUUUUGAAGGCAUAACAUCUGCCUUCUCAUUGCUGAGACAAGUCAUCUAUUUUUAACUUCCAUUUUCACGUUAAGGAUUUCUCCCAGGCUAUCCUUCAAUCUCUACCAUCUCUGAAUUCCAAAGUUUUCUGUCCUUGCUCCUUGGGGUGUUCCGCAGCCUCCUGUCAGACUCUCCAAGGCUCCUUGUCUGCUGGGACUGUGCAUGCCCCACCGAGGCCACAUCCUACCAAUAUUGCAGCUUGGCUCCAGAAUGGAUUAGAUAAUUUUUGCUAAGCUCCUGCAGCUAGGUGUGUUUUUGUGAGGCUCACCCUAUUCUCAGAGUUGUGAAUCAUGACAGCUGACCCUUACUGAGCACGCAUAUAUGCUAGGCACGUGCUAUGCUUUUUAUGUGCAUCAUCUUGGUUAAUCCUAAUAAGAAGCUCAUCCUUCUCAUCAGCUCUGCUUUACAGAUGGGACACUAAGGAACAGAGAGGUUAAAUGACAUGCACACAGUUACAAAUCUAGUGGUAGUGCUGGAAUUUGAACCCAGUCAACCUGACUCCAGAAUCUGUGUUCUUGAUCAUGAUGCUAUUGAUGGGUUCCAGCUUUUAGCCCAUUUCCUGCAGGGUCCUUUGAGUUGCAGUUAAUUGGGUCAGGUGCAGCUGUACCAUGAGAUAAGAUAGGUGUUCAAUAAAUUCCACCCUAGAAUCAUUUGUUGAACAUUUACUGGGUACAAGACACUGUGCUCACUUGUAAACCUGGGGUGUGGGUUUUGGUGUGGAGAUGAAACAUGCUAUUUAGUCACUGAAAUGAUCAAGAAGGAAAUCCUUUUGUUUGUAAGAAUAGUAGAUCUGACCUGAGACAAAAUUGUGAUCUUUCUGUGUCUCAUUGUCUGGCCUUUCUCAAACCCUGACCCUGUCCUUUCUUCAACUUAGGAAGCCUCUUCUGCUUUUCCACCCAGGAUCUUCUCUCCAUGUUUCUGAACCCAGCGCUGCACUCAGAAACAGGGCAGGUGCCUCUCCGUGCAUCUGAAGGCUUUACCUUCAGACCGUCCAGGUGUGCAUACUUCAAUGUUUAUUUAGUUGCCUGCCUCUGGGGAGCAUCCCAGCCUCACUGAGCUUAUACCUUGGGACACCUUGGAAGGUGAAGGCAGCCGAGUCCUUAUCGUAGAGUAAAAUAAGACAAGAACUCUAAAGUGAGGAAAGGCCCCAAACUAAGCAACAAAAGGUGUUGUUUUCUUGAAAAUGAUGACGGAAAUAUUACAAAUAUUGAUUGGUUGCAGAGGUAAUACAUUUGUCAAAGCUCAUCAAAUUGUGCUAAGGAAUACCUUUGCAUUUGUCUGUGUAUAAAUUUUACCUAAAUAAAAGCUUUUUUUUCCUAAGAAAUAAAAAUGCCAUAGUGCUAAAAGGACACUAGUAAGCAGAGAGCCGUUUCCAAGUACAUCAUCUAAGAGCCAUUUGUUCAACAAAUAUUUAUUGAGCACCUGAUAAGUACCAGGGACUGUCCUAGAAUCCAUCAGCAAUGAGACAAAGGUCCCUGUCUCCAUGGAGCUUACAUGCUAGCAGGGCCCUUGAAAGUGGCAGGCAGAGGCGGGCGCUUUGGCUGAUUGUUUGCCCUGAUUGCUGAUCUCAAGAGGAGCAACUGGAAGCUCUAGUCUCAGAGGGGCUCAGUGAUUCAUGGAAAAGGGAGUUUCCUGAAUGUCAGGUCUAGGGUUAGGCUGCAGCCCAUGCUGAGGUCUGAAGGGAGUGGGUGGAUGAAUGGCAGAUAGCUGAAAGAACACUUAAGGAGCUGUAGGUAGGUGAGAUACAGCUUUAUUCAGCAGCUCUCUCAUCAGCAGCUCUCUUACACGGUCUGCUCUGUCUCAGCUGCUUGAUCUGGCUGCUCCCAUGCACAGCUGCGCUGCUGGCUUUCCCUUCAGGGUCAGCAGCUUAACUCUUUCUCUGUCUGGGCAUGAGCGGGCCUAUACAGUGUCAGCAGGGCAAUUAUACCUUUUACAGACAAUAGUGGCUUAGAGCCAAAUGAUGAGCCUUCCCAUGCUAUGGCUACAUGGAUGUGAUGACAAGUGGAGUAAUACACCUAUGCUCUAAACUUGCUGAAUCACUCUCGGUGUUUACCUGGGGCUAUCGCUGACCGAAGCAUAGCCAUGUUCCUUACACUGAAAAAGCCUCUGAAUGCCUAGGGGAAAAAAGUCCUUACAUGCUUGGGGGCUAGAGCCGCACUUUCCGGUGAGGCCCAGAAGAGUCUGCAAAUCUUCCAGCCCCAUCCCCAGUGUCUCUUUGUGGCUUGAGAGGGUGGCUCACCCACCGCCUUACCAUAUGAUCCAUGCCCUCUCCCCCCUAGCAAGGCACCUCCACCAGGGGCCCGGCUUCCUUCAGGCACAUGUGCCCACAGGGCAUGGGCUCUGGCAGAGGCCAGCAAACCUGGAGGCUGGAAGCUCAUUUUCUGAGCUCCAGGAAGGGCGGGGAGGUGUGGGUUCUUUUUGAAACCAGACCUAUGUGCUUAGAAACACCACAGAAGGGCUGGGCAGAGCCACUGGGGGUUGGAUGGGGUUGCUGUGAAUCAUAGGAACUCUAGGCUAGAAGAAGCCAUCUGAGAGGGGAGGUAGGUUCUUUUGAAGUCUCAAAAUCUUUAUUUAAAACAGAAUCCAAGAACCUUUGAUCAUGCAGCAAAGUUUAUGACAUUAUAUACGUAAUAAAGGACAAUGAAGCAACAUAUAAUCCUUGUUAAUUAAAAUGGUCUAAAUUACAUGUAAUCUCUGAAUUUACAAAGAUAGCACAAUGUAUGCAAUAAAUCCUAUUUCACAGUCUUUUUUUAGUAACAACAAG
rnacentral:lncRNA from 10 species